rnacentral:rRNA from 1 species
GAUGAACGCUGGCGGCGUGCCUAAUACAUGCGAGUCGAGCGAACAGACGAGGAGCUUGCUCCUCUGACGUUAGCGGCGGACGGGUGAGUAACACGUGGAUAACCUACCUAUAAGACUGGGAUAACUUCGGGAACCGGAGCUAAUACCGGAUAAUAUAUUGAACCGCAUGGUUCAAUAGUGAAAGACGGUUUUGCUGUCACUUAUAGAUGGAUCCGCGCCGCAUUAGCUAGUUGGUAAGGUAACGGCUUACCAAGGCAACGAUGCGUAGCCGACCUGAGAGGGUGAUCGGCCACACUGGAACUGAGACACGGUCCAGACUCCUACGGGAGGCAGCAGUAGGGAAUCUUCCGCAAUGGGCGAAAGCCUGACGGAGCAACGCCGCGUGAGUGAUGAAGGUCUUCGGAUCGUAAAACUCUGUUAUUAGGGAAGAACAAAUGUGUAAGUAACUAUGCACGUCUUGACGGUACCUAAUCAGAAAGCCACGGCUAACUACGUG